rnacentral:rRNA from 1 species
GCAGUCGAGCGAUGGAUUAAGAGCUUGCUCUUAUGAAGUUAGCGGCGGACGGGUGAGUAACACGUGGGUAACCUGCCCAUAAGACUGGGAUAACUCCGGGAAACCGGGGCUAAUACCGGAUAACAUUUUGAACCGCAUGGUUCGAAAUUGAAAGGCGGCUUCGGCUGUCACUUAUGGAUGGACCCGCGUCGCAUUAGCUAGUUGGUGAGGUAACGGCUCACCAAGGCAACGAUGCGUAGCCGACCUGAGAGGGUGAUCGGCCACACUGGGACUGAGACACGGCCCAGACUCCUACGGGAGGCAGCAGUAGGGAAUCUUCCGCAAUGGACGAAAGUCUGACGGAGCAACGCCGCGUGAGUGAUGAAGGCUUUCGGGUCGUAAAACUCUGUUGUUAGGGAAGAACAAGUGCUAGUUGAAUAAGCUGGCACCUUGACGGUACCUAACCAGAAAGCCACGGCUAACUACGUGCCAGCAGCCGCGGUAAUACGUAGGUGGCAAGCGUUAUCCGGAAUUAUUGGGCGUAAAGCGCGCGCAGGUGGUUUCUUAAGUCUGAUGUGAAAGCCCACGGCUCAACCGUGGAGGGUCAUUGGAAACUGGGAGACUUGAGUGCAGAAGAGGAAAGUGGAAUUCCAUGUGUAGCGGUGAAAUGCGUAGAGAUAUGGAGGAACACCAGUGGCGAAGGCGACUUUCUGGUCUGUAACUGACACUGAGGCGCGAAAGCGUGGGGAGCAAACAGGAUUAGAU